UCAUCCGUCAAUGGCGUUUAUGUUUUGGGUAAUUACAGGACCCGUCUUGAAACACGGACCAAGGAGUCUAGCAUGUGCGCAAGUCAUUGGGAUUUUGUUAAACCUAAAGGCGUAAUGAAAGUAAAUAUUUAUCGAUUUCGUAUCGUAAAUUAAGGGAAGUUAGAUAACGUUAUUUAUGUUGUCCCGCAUUCCCGGGGCGUCGCGUACU
rnacentral:rRNA from 1 species